GGCUGGUUAGCUCAGUGGGUUGAGCGUGGUGCUGACAACAACAGUAACACCAAAGUCGCGGGUUUGAUUCCCUCUCAGUCC
rnacentral:tRNA from 1 species